CUUUGUACGAACUUUAUAAAAUUGAGUUAAUUUUAAGUCAAUUAUUUUGUAACGUAUGUAGUAAAUCUUCUGCUCUUCAGAUUAGUUGAGGGGGCUGCUUCCCUCCUUGAAGCUUGUCUAGUAGUCUUAAGAACAUA